GAAAUGCGAUAAGUAAUGUGAAUUGCAGAAUUCAGUGAAUCAUCGAAUCUUUGAACGCACCUUGCGCUCCUUGGUAUUCCUUGGAGCAUGCCUGUUUGAGUAUCAUGAAAUCUUCAAAGUAAAUCUUUUGUUAACUCAAUUGGUUUCUACUUUGGUAUUGGAGGUCUUUGCAGCUUCACACCUGCUCCUCUUUGUUCAUUAGCUGGAUCUCAGUGUUAUGCUUGGUUCCACUCGGCGUGAUAAGUUAUCUAUCGCUGAGGACACUGUAAAAGGUGGCCAAGGUAAAUGCAGAUGAACCGCUUCUAAUAGUCCAUUGACUUGGACAAUACUUUUAUGAUCUGAUCUCAAAUCAGGUAGGACACCCGCUGAACUUAAG
rnacentral:misc_RNA from 1 species